rnacentral:misc_RNA from 1 species
UAAAAAGUUCCUUAAUUUUUGGUGCACAUUCUUAUUAGUUUGUUCGUGAACUACGUAACUGUUAAAUGUCGUAACAAGUAAGACAUGCAUAAUUAUAAGUUCUGAUAACAUUUUUGAACCAUUUGACCGAUAUUAUUAUCGUUGACUCACGUCGAUAUUCACAGUUCCAGCGUCACCGAGGUCGUACAAAAUUGCGCAUUAUUGCGCAAAUAGGCAUGCCAGCGAUAUGCAGGUUGUCCACUAUCAGAUAGGCAGAAAAUAAAUAAAUACUUCCUCUGUAAAAGAAGUACAUACUUGGUGUAGCUCCCCGCCAAUUGGUCACUAUUCUGUCGACUUUCGCGUUAGUCAAACAUUUUGUAGCAUCGUAAACGCAAAUAUAACGAUCUCGUCCUUAUCAGGAUAAGAGUAUAAAUUCUAUAUCAGUACUUCAAUAGCAAUUCCAAAUGCGUGUGCAUCUGCUGUUAAUUCUGCUUUUCGUGGGCACCGCCCUAGCACGCGCUCGAAGCAAGAGGCAGACAGAAAUUGGACCCCGCGUCGAUGAAAGGCCUGCUCUUUGGUUGCAAAGAAUGUAUCAAUCCAUUUUUCGACUUUGGCCGUAUUUCAAAAAUAUUUUUCGUCUUUUAAACCAUCCUACAUCGAUCAAAAUAAGACUGAAGGCGCAAGAUCUGACGACAGAGCCUCCAACUCCUGAAGACACAGCGGCUACAUUAGGACGAUUCCACCACAAUGAUCUCAUAUCAACGAUAAUAUCUGAUCUUCUUAGACCAAUAAUGAUAAUGCUAAUGACAAUAUUUCAGUUUUUUAAACCAAUACUAGAGAUAAUAUAUCCUUUUAUUAAACCAAUACUUGAUAUUAUUCGACCAAUAAUAAGAACACAAGGAGUUACAAUCCAGGAAAUAUUAUUUACACUCUUUAGAGGAGUUAAUAUGAUGAUGCGCAUUAUACUACACACUUUCGGAGGCCUGGUAAGAGCAACAUUACAUUUUUUAUUUGCAACUAAAUUUUAUUCCUCCGUCUUUAUGAAUUUUAACGUCGAAAUUUAACAUUAUUUCUAAAUUGUGGAGUAUCAGCAUAUAAUAAAACUUUAUAUAUGUGCAGGUGAGCCCGAUAAUAAACGACAUAAUUACAAUAAUCAUGAUGUUUCUUGGCUUGAUUUAAGCUGAUACAAUAAAAAUAGUUAUCAAAAUCCGAUUCUGCAUACACAACUAUCCAUAAAUAUUGGUCUAAAGGAUCCAUAAAUCGUACAUACAUUGCUUAUGCGUUUGAGAAAAUUAAGGAGAUAAAUAAUGAAGGACAUAAAUAAUUAUCAACCAAUAAAGUAGAACAGUCAUUGGAAAGAACACGAUAUUGAUCACUGGAAAUUGCAAGAGAUACUAACAGGAUCCACACAGACUAAGAAGGAGACUCUACAAAUCCAUCGAAGAAUAUCAUCUAUUAUAAUUUUUGGUACAUAGCGGCAACUUUUUGGUCAAUUGCAGUGUCAGUAUGUUUUCGUCUACUUUAAGGCGCCUUGUAACAGACGAUACGUAAAUGUAUUUAUAAAGUGAGUAUAACGUUCAAUAAUCACCAAUACGACGGU